UACGAAGGGGGCUAGCGUUGCUCGGAAUCGCUGGGCGUAAAGGGUGCGUAGGCGGGUCUUUAAGUCCGGGGUGAAAUCCUGGAGCUCAACUCCAGAACUGCCUUUGAUACUGAGGAUCUUGAGUUCGGGAGAGGUGAGUGGAACUGCGAGUGUAGAGGUGAAAUUCGUAGAUAUUCGCAAGAACACCAGUGGCGAAGGCGGCGCACUGGCCCGAUACUGACGCUGAGGCACGAAAGCGUGGGGAGCAAACAGG
rnacentral:rRNA from 1 species